CCCUUAGAUGUUCGGGGCCGCACGCGCGCUACACUGAUGCAUUCAACGAGUCUAAAACCUGGUCUGAUAGGGCUGGGUAAUCUUUUGAAUGUGCAUCGUGAUUGGGAUAGAUGAUUGCAAUUCUUCAUCUUCAACGAGGAAUGCCUAGUAAACGCAAGUCAUCAGCUUGCAUUGAUUACGUCCCUGCCCUUUGUACACACCGCCCGUCGCUCCUACCGAUUGAAUGUUCCGAUGAAUACCAUGGACUGAGAGUAUGAAUGGGUUCGCCUAUUUCUGCUUCUCGGGAAGUGGAGUAAAUCUUAACAUUUAGAGGAAGGAGAAGUCGUAACA
rnacentral:rRNA from 1 species